UGGGGAAUAUUGGACAAUGGGGGGAACCCUGAUCCAGCCAUGCCGCGUGUGUGAAGAAGGCCUUAUGGUUGUAAAGCACUUUAAGCGAGGAGGAGGGUACUGGUAUUAAUACUACCAGGUACUGGACGUUACUCGCAGAAUAAGCACCGGCUAACUCUGUGCCAGCAGCCGCGGUAAUACAGAGGGUGCGAGCGUUAAUCGGAUUUACUGGGCGUAAAGCGUGCGUAGGCGGCUAAUUGAGUCGGAUGUGAAAUCCCCGAGCUUAACUUGGGAAUUGCAUUCGAUACUGGUUAGCUAGAGUGUGGGAGAGGAUGGUAGAAUUCCAGGUGUAGCGGUGAAAUGCGUAGAGAUCUGGAGGAAUACCGAUGGCGAAGGCAGCCAUCUGGCCUAACACUGACACUGAGGUACGAAAGCAUGGGGAGCAAACAGG
rnacentral:rRNA from 1 species